UCAUAGCGAGGAAAGAAACUAACAAGGAUUCCCCUAGUAACUGCGAGUGAAGCGGGAAAAGCUCAAAUUUAAAAUCUGGUGGUCUUUUGGCCAUCCGAGUUGUAAUUUAGAGAAGCGUCUUCCGCGCCGGACCAUGCACAAGUCUCCUGGAAUGGAGCGUCAUAGAGGGUGAGAAUCCCGUCUUUGGCAUGGACCCCCGGGGCUUCUGUGAUGCGCUCUCGAAGAGUCGAGUUGUUUGGGAAUGCAGCUCAAAAUGGGUGGUGAACUCCAUCUAAAGCUAAAUAUUGGCGAGAGACCGAUAGCGAACAAGUACCGUGAGGGAAAGAUGAAAAGCACUUUGGAAAGAGAGUGAAACAGUACGUGAAAUUGUUGAAAGGGAAACGCUUGAAGUCAGUCGCGUCGACCGAGACUCAGCCUUGCCUCGGCUUGGUGUACUUCUCRGCUGACGGGCCAGCAUCAAUUUUGUCUCUYGGAUAAUGGCAAGGGAAAGGUGGCACCUUCACCGGUGUGUUAUAGUCUCUUGUCGCAUGCGAGGGGUGGGAUUGAGGAACUCAGCACGCACCUCUUGGUGUCGGGGCCUUUUGGCUCACGUUACGUGCUUAGGAUGCUGGCRUAAUGGCUUUAAACGACCCGUCUUGAAACACGGACCAAGGAGUCUAACAUGCCCGCGAGUGUUUGGGUGGAAAACCCAUGCGCRUAAUGAAAGUGAAAGUUGGGACCUCUGUCGUGGAGGGCACCAACGCCCAGACCAGACCUUCUGUGACGGAUCUGCGGUAGAGCGUGCAUGUUGGGACCCGAAAGAUGGUGAACUAUGCCUGAAUAGGGUGAAGCCAGAGGAAACUCUGGUGGAGGCUCGUAGCGAUUCUGACGUGCAAAUCGAUCGUCAAAUUUGGGUAUAGGGGCGAAAGACUAAUCGAACCAUCUAGUAGCUGGUCC
rnacentral:rRNA from 1 species